AAAGAGGCAGGAUCCAUGUAGUACUGGGGAAGGGAAGAAGGUAGGCACUCCGGGUUUAAGAACUGAUCCGGUAACUCUGUGCACAGACCAAGAAGGUUCUCCAUAGUGAAUGUGAUCAGGUGACUGGAGAUACACAUCCACAAACUCAAAGGUAUGCACAUAAACCCAAAACGAUGAAACUCAACAUUGUGAUUACAACAUAGUAUGUUGUGCUUAUAAAUUAUCCGAAUUUCUAGAAGCUUCAGUUGUAUGCAUGUUACUGAAUUUUGAUUGCCUGUUUUGAAAAUUAGAAAACUUUGAUUUCCAUGCCAGUUUUGUAAGGAAAUAAAUUACACAGAUGUACCGCCA
rnacentral:lncRNA from 1 species